UUAGUAAUGUCCGUAAUGACUAAAAAUACUUUUUAAAGAAAUGAUCUUAACAGAUGUACAUUUCGCGGAAUAUUACAUUUCAUGUAAUUUCGUUUCAUUAAAAAAAACGAAAGCUGGGGAAAAUAUUAGUAUUUAUUAUUAUAUAAUGCGGUUAAUUUCUUUAUUUUCAACAGAUAAACAAUAUUUGUUCUCGGAAUUUACAGCGUUCAACUUUUAGAAAAUACAAAGUUCUGUCAACUGCAGGUUAUCUCAAAUAUCAAUUCUACCAUUUCUUACAGUUACAUUCUGGAAUAUGCACUUUCUUCGUAGUUAUUCAGUAAACAAUUAUUGUGAAGCUCAAUAUUUAUAUCUUGAUGUAAAUGAAAGCAUAUGUGUUUAAAGAAUAUUUUCAAAGCUCAACAUUUAUAGCUCACUGCUUCGGAUUUUCAAUGAAUACAUCCUUUUUUAACGACAGCUUUGUUCCUGGUCGUGGACAUGCUAGCAGUUAAAUGAGAUUCUGAUUUUACAAAUGCAAAGUGAUGUGAAAAGAAAGCUUGACAGAAAGAUUUUGGUAGAUUUUGACAGCAGUACUAUUCAAACUGAGAUAUAUAAAUUGUAUUUUGUUGUAACUAAAAUCUAAACAUUAAAAAA